rnacentral:lncRNA from 1 species
GAACCAAAAUCCUGAGAAUUUCAGGUUUUCCAGAUUAUGAAAAACAUACAGAUCAGUCCUGGUAUAUUGUCCUCGUACCGAAACCGAAUAUCGAAAAUUUUAGUAUCGGAUCUCCGAAUUGCUACCCUAAUUAAGCCAAUGAUUCUUCUAUCUGACUUGCAGGAAGGUGGCGAGGAAUGGAAAACUAUGGAGAAAGCAUGGGGUGGAGUCUGGCACUUGCCUAUUCCACCAAGAGGAUCCCUUAAGCUUAAGGUCCAAGUUGGCAACAGCUAUGGAGACAAAAAAUGGAUAGAGGCAAAGAAGUCCUUACCGAGUUCGUGGAAGCCCGGUGCUGCUUACGAUUCCCAUGUCCAGCUUUCUUGAAGAGGAUUCGAAAGACCGAAAGCCGAGUUCAGGCUCCUUCUGCGAAUAUUUUAGGAGUCCUGCAUGCUCGAAAAAAAGCAUACAAAGUUGUUACUCAGUAUAUGUAUUUCAAACUCACUGUUUGCAGCUAACUUGAUCAGCAGAAAUGUAUCAAGAG